AUACGUAGGUGGCAAGCGUUGUCCGGAAUUAUUGGGCGUAAAGCGCGCGCAGGUGGUUCCUUAAGUCUGAUGUGAAAGCCCCCGGCUCAACCGGGGAGGGUCAUUGGAAACUGGGGAACUUGAGUGCAGAAGAGGAUAGUGGAAUUCCAAGUGUAGCGGUGAAAUGCGUAGAGAUUUGGAGGAACACCAGUGGCGAAGGCGAAUUGCUGGGCCUGAACUGGCCCUGGGGGGCGAAAGCGGGGGGAGCAAAAAGGAUUAAAUACCCUGGUAGUCCACGCCGUAAACGAUGAGGGCUAAGGGUUGGGGGGUUUCCGCCCCUCAGUGCUGCAGCUAACGCAUUAAGCACUCCGCCUGGGGAGUACGGUCGCAAGACUGAAACUCAAAUGAAUUGGCGGGG
rnacentral:rRNA from 1 species